rnacentral:rRNA from 1 species
GACGUAGGGCGCGAGCGUUGUCCGGAUUUAUUGGGCGUAAAGAGCUCGUAGGCGGUUUGUCGCGUCGGCUGUGAAAACUCGGGGCUCAACCCCGAGCCUGCAGUCGAUACGGGCAGACUAGAGUGCGGUAGGGGAGACUGGAAUUCCUGGUGUAGCGGUGAAAUGCGCAGAUAUCAGGAGGAACACCGGUGGCGAAGGCGGGUCUCUGGGCAGUAACUGACGCUGGAGGAGCGAAAGCGUGGGGAGCGAACAGG